rnacentral:rRNA from 1 species
CCUACGGGAGACAGCAGUGGGGAAUAUUGCACAAUGGGCGAAAGCCUGAUGCAGCAACGCCGCGUGAAGGAAGAAGGGUUUCGGCUCGUAAACUUCUAUCAGCAGGGAAGAAAGAACUGACGGUACCUGAAUAAGAAGCUCCGGCUAACUACGUGCCAGCCGCCGCGGUAAUCCGGAGGGGCCACGCGUUAUACGGAAUUACUGGGGGUAAAGGGUGAGUGGGCGGCAUGGUAAGCCAGCUGUGAAAGCCUUGGGCUUAACCCGAGGAUUGCAUUUGGAACUAGCAAGCUAGAGUACAGGAGAGGAAAGCGGAAUUCCUAGUGUAGCGGUGAAAUGCGUAGAUAUUAGGAAGAACACCAGUGGCGAAGGCGGCUUUCUGGACUGAAACUGACGCUGAGGCACGAAAGCGUGGGGAGCAAACAGGAUUAGAUACCCUUGUAGUC